CAUAUAUAUGAAAAAUGUAUUUAUACUAAUAAAAAAGAGCUUUUGAGGUUCCAUAAAGCAUCCACAUCAGCGGAAAAAAAUUUCUUCUAAAAGAUGACACGUGGCAUUAAUAAAAAAUAAAAAAUAAAUCUAUAUAUAUAAAGAAGUGUUUCUAUCCUUCCUAGGCCAUCCACGUCAUCCGCCAGCUAGGAAAGUCGAGCAAGCAGACGGCACCACGUGUCCAUGUAACUAAAGUUUUCAGUUUCAUUUAAUCUAGGCGUGAUGGGCUUAGAUGUUUAUGUGGGAAUGGGCUUAAGACUUGGUAUCCUCUAACCCUAAUUCAUCCGCAAAGGCUCUCCUCUUCCUGCGACGAAAACGCGAUGCCUUUUGUGAUUCUUCUCACCAUUUUGAACGGUCUGCGUAAAGGCUUCGUGAUUAAUAACAUUGAUUCGCUCUCCCACUACGUCGUCAUCAAUGCUUUUUUAUAUCUAAUAGGCGGUGAUCUCUGUAUAAAUAUGUGUGAGUAGUCCUCUCCUUGAUCUCAUCUUAUCUUCGUAACGCUUAUAUCUCAUUCUGAUUACAGUGAGCUCCGGUGGAUUGAAAUGGCAGGUGGAUUGCUUAGUUAGCUUCUUGAGUAGUGAAGAUUGAGCGGCGAGGAAAGCAGCAGCCGAAGCCUUAGGGAGGUUAUCCACGGCGGAAAGAAAUGAUUUUUGAGAAAGUCUUUGAAGAUCUUCAAAAGCAAGAUAUACGACAAGGUUUGGUUUUAGUGUCUGAAUGUAGGUUUUGUUCUGCUCCAGCAUGAUUACAAGUUUCAAUUGUGGAUACAUGUUCAGGUGAAAACUGUGAGAGAAGUGAUGAACCAGAUGAUGGAGGCAUGGAAACAAGUCUGAGAUUUAUCAGAAGAGGUUUCUCAGCCAAGAUCUAAUGUUUCUUCUAAAGGUAUCUUUCCUCCGUUAGAUCUUUAGCCAAAAUUAGGAAACUAUUUGUUUAGUGCCUACUAUUCUUGGUUAAUUUCCUUUGUGUCUAUGAGAAGAACUGAUCACUGUAUAAACAACCAUCGAUUAAUCUGCCCCUUAAUUUUGUCUUCAGAACUGAAAAAUAAGGGUUUUUGUUCAGCACUGGAUAUGAAAGGUCUUUAAAAGCAUUAAGUGUUUAAGGCAGGGGAAGAAGAUUUUGGACGAGAGAUGGAUCAGUUUGAAGCAUAACGCCAAGCUGAGUUUGAGCUUCUUCAGAUUGGUCAAGAACAAGAGGGUAUCUAUUCCAAGCUCAUGAGAAGAGGGCCUUCGCUAUUUGGUUUACUAAGCUUACCAAGUUCGUCUCAGCAGGGUCCGUGAAUACAACACUGACUGAGUUGUUUAGGUUCAGUAGUUGAAGAACUCUGGCAAGUGGCAACUACAAAAUAAAUUUUUUUUUUUUCAUUAUUGAUCUGUAACAGACGAAAGAAACUCGCCAUUAGAGUAACAAAGAAAAGUGUACUUAUGUUAAAAAUUCUAUGUUACGGCUUUAAAUAUGUUUUGUUUAUGUCAUAAUGAAACUUGUGGUUAGUAGGUU